ACCACCAAGAUAAUUUAACACCAUAAAUAAUUUAACACUAAUUAAAUCAGGAAACUAAAUCAUUUUUCCACCUUAGUACGGGAGACGGAAAAGGUAAUUUUAAGCAAUAGAGACAGUACCGCAAGGGAAAGCUGAAAGAGUAAUGAAAUAAUUCAUAUAAGCACAAGAAAGCAGAGCCUAACCCUCGUACCUUUUGCAUCAUGAUUUAGCCAGCACCACACAAGCAAAGUGACCUUUAGUUUGAAAUCCCGAAACCAAGUGAGCUACCCCGGGACAGCCUAUUUGGGCGAACCCGUCUCUGUGGCAAAAGAGUGGGAAGAGCCCCGGGUAGAGGUGAUAAACCUACCGAACUUGGUGAUAGCUGGUUGCCUGAGAAAUGAAUAGAAGUUCAGCCUCGUACCCCUUUAGCCAACCAAGAAAUAUCUGAAUAAGCAUAAAAGAGAAAUACGAGAGUUAGUUAAAGGGGGUACAGCCCCUUUAAUAAAGGACACAACCUUAAAUAGGAGGAUAAGAGUCACAUUUUACAAAACUAGUCGUUCCAGUGGGCCUAAAAGCAGCCAUCUGAGUAGAAAGCGUUAAAGCUCAAACGACAUGCAGUUUAUUAUACUGAUAAAUAGCCCAACUCCCCUAAAAGUAUCAGGCCGUUCCAUGCCACCAUGGAAGAGACCAUGCUAGAAUGAGUAAUAAGAGGGUAUGACCCUCUCCUAGCACAAGUGUAAGCCAGAUCGGACAAGCCGCUGGAAAUUAACGAACCCAUAAAAAGAGGGUACUGUGUCUUCUAAAGAACUCAAGAAAACAACACAGCACUUACAUCGUUAAACCCACACUGGAGUGCCAUCAAGGAAAGACUAAAAGAAAGGGAAGGAACUCGGCAAACACAAGCCUCGCCUGUUUACCAAAAACAUCGCCUCCUGCAAAUACCUACGUAUAGGAGGUCCAGCCUGCCCGGUGACUACAAGUUUAACGGCCGCGGUAUUUUGACCGUGCAAAGGUAGCGCAAUCACUUGUCUUUUAAAUGAAGACCUGUAUGAAUGGCUAAACGAGGGCUUAACUGUCUCCCUUUUCAGGUCAGUGAAAUUGAUCUCCCCGUGCAG
rnacentral:rRNA from 1 species